UCAUGUAGAAGGCCCUAAAACCCAGAACAAAGUGAAGAUUUCAACACUUCACUUUCAAUACUGACCUCACAGAAGUUUUCAGUCAAGUCACUGUACCAAAGUUACCACCUCACUGACCCUGGAACUGCUCCAAUGAGCUUCUGACAGAGAAUGCUUAUCAACGUCAAUGGUUUCUGGCAUCAUGAUGCAAAUCCAGAUUGCUGAGUGUCACUGCAGUAUUUAUGUGAAGCUGAGCCAAGUGGAGCAAUUGAGUCUCAUCAACACUCACCAUGAAGAUCCCACUCUCUUUAUUCCUGCUACUAAUCAGCCUCAUUGGUGUGAAAUGUCAAAGUCUUGAGUCAUUACAAACAACCAUGCAGAAGAAACCUGGCGACACGCUGAGUCUCUCCUGCAGAGGAUCUGGAUUCACUUUUAGCAGCUACCAAAUGCACUGGAUCAGACAGCAGGCAAACAAACCACUGGUGUGGAUGGGGUACAUCUAUACUGAUGGCAGUAAAACUGGAUAUAGUACAUCUUUUGAAGGGAGAACAGAAAUCACCAGAGAUAAUUCCAACAGCAUGGUGUAUCUGAAACUCUCUGGGGUGACAGCAGAAGACACAGCUGUGUAUUACUGUGCCCGAAGAGCACUGUAGCAGAAAUGUGAGGAAACACUGUACAAAAACACUAGCAUUGCUGCUGAUUCAUUUCAUCUGGCCAAUAGGUUUCAGAGACCAAACCAUCUCUUCUAUUUAAAUAAUGAAUCUCCAGAGCAGCAUUGUUUAAAUAAGGGUUUAUGAUUUCCUCAUUUAUUUCAUAUAGAUAAUAAAUGUUGCAUAAAUGCUUUUUCAUGGAAGGAUAAUAA